UCUGUCAUCAUGGCUGCCCAAUUGGUCCGUACUGAGUUGGACCUGUGACGUCUCAAUAGAACUACAGUCGGUUGGACAAAGGGGCGGCAGCCUGUGACGGAAGGCUGGUGACCCAACGCUCCUGUUUGCCUCCGGACUGGAAAAAGACUCUAUCUUGUGUUAUUCACGUGUGGUUUUUGUAGUCAGUAAUCUUCUGUAAUAGGUUAUCCUUGUGAAAACGGAUUGUAAUGAAGUUUUCUUUUG